rnacentral:tRNA from 1 species
AGGGUUAUAAUUUAAUUAAAAUAUUUGAUUUGCAUUCAAAAAAUAUUGAAUUUGAUUCAAUUUACCUUA